GGGCGCAUAGCUCAGUUGGCAGAGCAGCUGACUCUUAAUCAGCGGGUCCACGGUUCGAGUCCGUGUGCGCCCACCA
rnacentral:tRNA from 2 species